rnacentral:rRNA from 1 species
GCUUGUCUCAAAGAUUAAGCCAUGCAUGUCUAAGUAUAAACUGCUUAUACUGUGAAACUGCGAAUGGCUCAUUAAAUCAGUUAUAGUUUAUUUGAUGGUACCUACUACUCGGAUAACCGUAGUAAUUCUAGAGCUAAUACAUGCACAAAGCAGCCCUCACGGGUUGUGUAUUUAUUAGAUACAAUCAGCCCCCUCGGGGUCAUGAUGAAUCAUAAUAACUGAACUAAGCGCAUGCUUUGGCGGCGCUGUUUCAUUCAAGUUUCUGCCCUAUCAGCUUUCGAUGGUAGGGUAUUGGCCUACCAUGGCGUUAACGGGUAACGGAGAAUUAGGGUUCGAUUCCGGAGAGGGAGCCUGAGAGAUGGCUACCACAUCCAAGGAAGGCGCAGG